ensembl:snRNA U6 U6 spliceosomal RNA
GUGCUCGCUUCGGCAGCACAUAUACUAAAAUUGGAAUGAUACAGAGAAGAUUAGCAUGGCCCCUGCACAAGGAUGGCAUGCAAAUUCAUGAAGCAUUCCAUAUUUUU